UGAGCAAUCUGCCCUUCUCUUUGGAAUAAGCGUUGGAAACGACGUCUAAUGCCGAAUACGACCUCCUUUCGCAUGAUCGGAGGUGGAAAGCUCCGGCGGAGAAGGAUGAGCUCGCGGCCUAUCAGCUAGUUGGUGUGGGUAACGGCCCACCAAGGCGACGACGGGUAGCCGGCCUGAGAGGGUGACCGGCCACACUGGGACUGAGACACGGCCCAGACUCCUACGGGAGGCAGCAGG
rnacentral:rRNA from 1 species